UGUAAUUAGGUGUAUGUUGCACAUAAAUUUUUGAUAUUUAAAGUUAAGUUUAAUUCUUAAAAUUACAA
rnacentral:tRNA from 1 species